GAUGAACGCUGGCGGCGUGCCUAAUACAUGCGAGUCGAGCGAACGGACGAGAAGCUUGCUUCUCUGAUGUUAGCGGCGGACGGGUGAGUAACACGUGGAUAACCUACCUAUAAGACUGGGAUAACUUCGGGAAACCGGAGCUAAUACCGGAUAAUAUUUUGAACCGCAUGGUUCAAAAGUGAAAGACGGUCUUGCUGUCACUUAUAGAUGGAUCCGCGCUGCAUUAGCUAGUUGGUAAGGUAACGGCUUACCAAGGCAACGAUGCAUAGCCGACCUGAGAGGGUGAUCGGCCACACUGGAACUGAGACACGGUCCCGACUCCUACGGGAGGCAGCAGUAGGGAAUCUUCCGCAAUGGGCGAAAGCCUGACGGAGCAACGCCGCGUGAGUGAUGAAGGUCUUCGGAUCGUAAAACUCUGUUAUUAGGGAAGAACAUAUGUGUAAGUAACUGUGCACAUCUUGACGGUACCUAAUCAGAAAGCCACGGCUAACUACGUG
rnacentral:rRNA from 1 species